rnacentral:rRNA from 1 species
AGGAAUAUUGGUCAAUGGGCGUAAGCCUGAACCAGCCAAGUAGCGUGAGGGAAGACUGCCCUAUGGGUUGUAAACCUCUUUUGUGCGGGGAUAAAGUGUGGGACGUGUCCCAUAUUGCAGGUACCGCACGAAUAAGGACCGGCUAAUUCCGUGCCAGCAGCCGCGGUAAUACGGAAGGUCCGGGCGUUAUCCGGAUUUAUCGGGUUUAAAGGGAGCGCAGGCCGUCCUUUAAGCGUGCUGUGAAAUGCCGCGGCUCAACCGUGGCACUGCAGCGCGAACUGGAGGACUUGAGUACGCACGAGGUAGGCGGAAUUCGUGGUGUAGCGGUGAAAUGCUUAGAUAUCACGAAGAACUCCGAUUGCGAAGGCAGCUUACCGGAGCGCAACUGACGCUGAGGCUCGAAAGCGCGGGUAUCGAACAGGAUUAGAUACCCUGGUAGUCCGCGCGGUAAACGAUGGAUGCCCGCCGUUGGGAUUUAGAUUUCAGCGGCCAAGCGAAAGCGUUAAGCAUCCCACCUGGGGAGUACGCCGGCAACGGUGAAACUCAAAGGAAUUGACGGGGGCCCGCACAAGCGGAGGAACAUGUGGUUUAAUUCGAUGAUACGCGAGGAACCUUACCCGGGCUUGAAUUGCAGGAGAACGAUCCAGAGAUGGUGAGGCCCUUCGGGGCUCCUGUGAAGGUGCUGCAUGGUUGUCGUCAGCUCGUGCCGUGAGGUGUCGGCUCAAGUGCCAUAACGAGCGCAACCCCUGUCCAUAGUUGCCAUCAGGUCGUGCUGGGCACUCUGUGGAGACUGCCGCCGUAAGGUGUGAGGAAGGUGGGGAUGACGUCAAAUCAGCACGGCCCUUACGUCCGGGGCUACACACGUGUUACAAUGGGGCAUACAGCGAGUUGGAUGUGCGCAAGUACGUCCGGAUCAAUAAAGUGCCUCUCAGUUCGGACUGGGGUCUGCAACCCGACCCCACGAAGCUGGAUUCGCUAGUAAUCGCGCAUCAGCCAUGGCGCGGUGAAUACGUUCCCG